AGCGAACGCUGGCGGCAGGCCUAACACAUGCAAGUCGAACGAACCUUUCGGGGCUAGUGGCGGACGGGUGAGUAACACGUGGGAACGUGCCUUUAGGUUCGGAAUAACUCAGGGAAACUUGUGCUAAUACCGAAUGUGCCCUUCGGGGGAAAGAUUUAUCGCCUUUAGAGCGGCCCGCGUCUGAUUAGCUAGUUGGUUGAGGUAAUGGCUCACCAAGGCGACGAUCAGUAGCUGGUCUGAGAGGAUGAUCAGCCACAUUGGGACUGAGACACGGCCCAAACUCCUGCGGGAGGCAGCAGUGGGGAAUCUUGCGCAAUGGGCGAAAGCCUGACGCAGCCAUGCCGCGUGAAUGAUGAAGGUCUUAGGAUUGUAAAAUUCUUUCACCGGGGACGAUAAUGACGGUACCCGGAGAAGAAGCCCCGGCUAACUUCGUG
rnacentral:rRNA from 1 species